GGCAUUUCGCUUGGUUCUUUUGUGUUCUUUUAAUAAUAUAUAGAUAUACAGUUCAUACCAACAAGGUGUAUGAAAUCUAUACCGCUGCGAUCUAAGUUCCUCGUCGCCCAAAACCUAACUGGUCAAAGUUGGACAAAGUUACUUCUAUCCGUGCUGAAUUGAAGUGGCUCAUUAUUAUUGCCAAAUUAUGAUGACAAAUACAAAGGUCUUGCUGCUACGUACGAUAUCGAUUGCAGGAACUAGCUAGUAAGAAGAGCAAGUACCUAUUAUCCAGAGCUACGACCAAUAGAGCAUCCUCUCUUGAAGCUUAUGGAGGAGCACAGAAAGCAUCCAGAUCGAUUGGGACAUGAGUGACUAUUUUUUUCUCUUGUAAAAGUAUAUUGAUAUGUUUGAGUAGAGCAACCUUUUAAUAGUUUAAUUUAUUUUGAAUGAUAUUGUUGAACCUUUAGUUAUGUCUUCUUGCUAAUGUAUUGAAAUAUACAUUAUAUUUUAUUAUGUUUGCAUAGA